rnacentral:rRNA from 1 species
GACAGAGGGUGCAAACGUUGUUCGGAAUUACUGGGCGUAAAGCGCGCGCAGGCGGCCUUGCAAGUCGGGCGUGAAAUCCCACGGCUCAACCGUGGAAGUGCACUCGAAACUGCGAGGCUAGAGUCUUGGAGAGGAAGGCGGAAUGCUUGGUGUAGAGGUGAAAUUCGUAGAUAUCAAGCGGAACACCGGUGGCGAAGGCGAGUUCCUGGACAAGACCUGACGCUGAGGCACGAAAGCCAGGGGAGCAAACAGG